GGCCGGGUGGUCUAGCGGUCAGGGCGUUAGGCCGUGUAAGCUGAAGACGCGGGUUCGAUUCCCGCCUCGGCCA